AUGCUUCCCGACAACGCUCGUCCAGGCCCCUUCAAAGGUGGCAUGCAGAUCUUCGUCCAGAUGCAACACAGGAAACCUACAUCAAAGGAAUGGGUGAUCACCUCACUGCCGGCACAUAGCUCGAGGAUGGUCGCACUCUUGCUGACUACAACAUCCAGAAGGAGUCUGUCCUUCCAUACUGCCUCCCGGCAACGUGGUGGUAUGCUGAUCUUUGUCCAGACACUCACCCACAAGACCAUCACACUUGAGGAAGAGUCCUCUGACACCAUCGACAAUGUCAUGGCAAAGAUUGCCGUGGAAGAGCAUUGCCUCUCGGCAACGGCUCCCUCAGCGCCAACAGCUUCCGCCCGUCGACGACCAACCAGCAUCUAA
rnacentral:rRNA from 1 species